rnacentral:lncRNA from 1 species
CUCAUUUUUGUUAGCCUAAGUCUCUUGUGGAUUAAACAUGUGUAUCUCUGAUUUAAAGUGUUAUGCAUGUAAGUUGUGAUUUUGAAAAAAUACUGUCCUACUUUGCUGGAAUGUGAUGCUAUUUCUCCUUCCCCUUUCCUACCAUGGAGGAUCUGAAGAAGCUGAGGAAAAGCAGAACAGUGAAAACCUACUUUUAGAGCUAUGAGUACUACUUUAGUUAACAGUGAAAAACCCUUCUGGAAAGUCACCGGAGGAAAAAGGACUAGAGAUGCGUUCUCCCUAUUGAAGGCUGAAAUGCUGACCUCCAGUGCUGACUUCACUGGACGGCUAACAAAGAAUUUAUUCAUCCUAAUACCUCACAGACACUGUCCCACAUCCACGUACAUCUAGUAGCCUGCCUGUGGCUGUAAGAUAAAGAACUGAUCUGUCUUGUAUUCAGUGAGACCGAGUCUGUUUGUUAAUGAAUCCUUGCAGAAAAGACUUGUGCUGCGUUCCUUAUAAAAGACUUCUUCAUAUAUUGGAAUGACACUGGUUUAGUAAGCAAAGUAUAUUGUCAUUUUGAUACACAGAUUGGAAAAUUUCUUUCAUGUCUCAUAUUCUCUUCUAUUUUUAUUUUAACCCCUACAUUUCCCUUGUGUUUUUUAACUCAUGCAUGUGCGCUCUUCAUACAAUUUUAAAAAGUAAUAAAAUCCAACAUAUAAAAAUGAUUAGUUUUAUUUUCUUUGUUUUGCAUUAUGUAUUUGGCCAA